ACUCUAGUGAACGAAAUCAACAAUAGAUCUCAUCGGUUUGCGAAACUGAUGACAGCACAGCUCAGUGCAGUGGAUUACUUUGACGAUUUUGCGUGCAAACUAAUCAUAGCCAACCUUGCAAAAGCGGAAAAUUAUUUAAAUUCC